GAUGAACGCUGGCGGCGUGCCUAAUACAUGCAAGUCGAGCGAACAGACGAGGAGCUUGCUCCUCUGACGUUAGCGGCGGACGGGUGAGUAACACGUGGAUAACCUACCUAUAAGACUGGGAUAACUUCGGGAAACCGGAGCUAAUACCGGAUAAUAUAUUGAACCGCAUGGUUCAAUAGUGAAAGACGGUUUUGCUGUCACUUAUAGAUGGAUCCGCGCCGCAUUAGCUAGUUGGUAAGGUAACGGCUUACCAAGGCAACGAUGCGUAGCCGACCUGAGAGGGUGAUCGGCCACACUGGAACUGAGACACGGUCCAGACUCCUACGGGAGGCAGCAGUAGGGAAUCUUCCGCAAAGGGCGAAAGCCUGACGGAGCAACGUCGCGUGAGUGAUGAAGGUCUUCGGAUCGUAAAACUCUGUUAUUAGGGAAGAACAAAUGUGUAAGUAACUAUGCACGUCUUGACGGUACCUAAUCAGAAAGCCACGGCUAACUACGUG
rnacentral:rRNA from 1 species